rnacentral:misc_RNA from 1 species
UGUGGGAGCCAGCCUGCUGGCGAUGACGGUGUGUCAGUCAAAUCAACGGUGAUGUUUGCACCGCUAUCGCCAGCAGGCUGGCUCCCACA